CACGCCGGCUCCUCCCCGCGGGCUCCCGGCGACCUGCCCGGCCCGAAGGUUCCCUCGGCACCCCCCGCAUGCCCGCGCCCGGAGUCCCUGGGGGUCCCCAGGGCCUGGUCCGGAGGCGUGCCCGGAACUCGGGAGCGGGCGGGACGCUGGCCGGCGUCUCGGAGACGAGUGUUCGAAACCCGGGUCUGCCAGACUCUCCCCGCGGCCCCGGACGACCGGCCUCGGAGCCUCAGUUUCCCCUUUAGGGCGAGGCACCCUCUAGGCGGAGGAACGGUGGCCGUUCUCGUUAGUAGGACCCCGGGGCGGUCCGCACGACUGCUCUGCGCCGAGCAGGCGCCUCUGCAAGCGCUGUUGAAGGAACACGUGUGAAGAGCCCGGGGACGCCACAGAUCAUGGACACCUGGAUGGAGGGCCCGCCUGUCCUGGCUCCGGUGUUCUAGAAUGGUGCUGUAGAAGGUGGGGCUUGCCAUUCAUUGUUUCCCAUGUGGCUGUCCAGCACCGUUUGCUGAAAUGAUUAUCUCCUCUCCCUGGGAUUGCCGCAGUUCCUUUAACACUCAGGUCCUAAGUGUGGAACCUGGAUUUGUUAAGAAGGACAAAAAUAAGAAAGACACAGAAGGAAUACAUCACGUCAUUCACUGAUCCCACCACAGAGUGUCUGCAGGAAAAGGCAUCCUAGGCCUGCGUCAGGGUGUCAGCCUCCCUCGCCUGUGGACCGAACUGCCUCCCUCACCAGAAAGGAAAUGGAGUUCCUUCCUUCCCUUUUCCUUCAGACAUGAGUCAUCUGUGAUCUCCUGUGUUUGAAUUUUUCUAAGCUGCUCACUGCUGGCAGAAAUGUUAAUCCUUUUAAAAGAGCGUGAGCUUUCUCCUCCAGCCUGAGUGCUCCACCACGUGCACACAGCCACCCCCGUGUUCUUACUCCACACUGUCUUCACCCUUGACUUUGACCUCCAGGGUGUGCAGUGCUUCCAGGACAGGAAGGGAAAGGAGGUGGGUGAAGAACAGCGGACAGGUGGAGGAGAGAAUAGUGGGGAGGUUGAGCUUUUGGUGUAUUUCCAUUAAGGAAAGAAGAGAGAAAGAAGAUGGCGAUCUAAGAUAGAAUGUCACCUACAUCUGUGAGGCGCUGGGGGUCCAGAAAUAAAUCAGAUGUCAUCAUAUCUUGCAGGAAGUCACCGUCUAACAGAAAGGAAAACAUGCAAAGCACUGAUCUGAAUUCACUCCUGUAAUAAGUGCUCUGAGAUGCCAGAGGGAGGCCCAAGCUUCGCCGGGAGGGUCUCGGGGUAAAUCUGCCCACGAGACGAUACCUGGAGCAGAUGCGAAGUUGGCCAGGUGAGGCCGGGGGAAGGGGUGAGAAAGACCUCCAAGAAGAAAGAAAGGUGCGUAAGCAGUACAGGGGAUUGGUCAAGGUGCAGAGAAUUGGUGAAGGGAAGGUGGGUGCUGCAGGAAAUAAGCCGACUGAAAUAGACCCGAGUGUGGCUUCACAGAAUGACCAGCGCUGUGGCUGUGGCGAGGAGGCUGGAGCAGGAAGCUGUUGACUCCUCGGGAGAUGGGCAGCUCCCAGCUUGGCCAGCAGGGGCGCCCUCCCCGCAAUCUGUCCCCCCAAUCCACAGACUUGGUCCUGCCUCCAGACUGACAGUCCCCACAGCUUUUCCCACAAUCACAUGGAAAAAGAGAAAUGAUGACUCCUGGAACCUGUUAAUCAGAAUAUAGUUUUAAAAAUGCCCAUGUAUUUCCACGCACAGGAAAGGCCGAGAACACUGCCUACAAUUACUGUUUGUUUCAGGUCAUUGCACACGGAAGUGCAGACUCUGUGGAACAAGUAUUUGAUUCGAUUAGUUUUUCGUGCCCAGCAGCCAGGUGAGGCAGCUUUCCCUGAGGUCGGGGUGAGAGGGGUGAGAGCAUCUGGGCGACAGCCAGUGACUGGUGCCACCAGAGUAGCAGGAGCUGCGAGUUCAUCUACAGAGCACCUGCCACGUGCUGGAAGCAGCAGCCUGGUAACCCAAGAUCAAGGAAGGAAAAAGGGGCUCACACGAGGACAGGGUUCAAAGGCAUGAUGGUCGGACGACAUUCGGCGUUUGUCAGCGUAUCGAGACGCUCCCACACUCUUGUCCCCUCUGUGCCUCCCGGUACCAGUAGCCCGUCACCACCCCCAUGGUACACGUGGCGAUAGAAACAACUGGACUUUCUGAAUGACUUAUCCUUGCCCCGCCCUCCAAGAAAGCAAUUGCUCAAGUGUCAGAACGGAAAUGAAAAUCCGUCUUUUUUUCCCUCCAAAUCCUGUUCAUUUUCCAUACCAUCAAUGGCCAGUUUUCAACAGCCAAUUUUCACCUCAUGUAUGUAUUUUUCCUUAGUAUUAGCUCUAACCAUUUCAAUCUGAGAAUGUUGGCUGUUUGCAUAUUUCCAUAAUCAUCAGUCACCAUAACAACAAUACCUACCACUUAUUGAGCCACCGAAACUGCUAGACCCAGUACAAGAGGUCUUACAAUACACUAAUGUAAUUCUUACAACGCCCCUGAGUGGUAGGUAAGAGUACAGUAUCUUACAGAUGAAGAAACGCGCUCAGGGAGACGAAGACCUUGCCUGAGGCCGCAGCUGCUGAGUAGACAGCUGCCCUGGAACCCAGAUCGGCUUGACUCGAGCCUGGACCACAACCGCAAUGCCACUGUCCCUCUGCUUAGUCUCCCUUCUGGGAAAUCAUGUCAACGACAAGGUUAGAUUCGAAUCUUUUUUCCUAGUUGGGGCUGUGAACUAUGAACUAUGUGGUUAAUGAGAAGGGAGCAGGCUACAAGGUGAAGUGGGGACAAGUUACAAGCUGGCGCCUGCCCUGAGAAGGGUGCUGCGGCUCCUUCAACGCCUGACGUUUAAGAAGCCUCAGAAUGUAGGAGGCACACAGCCUGCCACUCAUCGCAUGGGGGCUGCUGUGAGGGGACAGUGCCGCAGUAAGCUCCUCCCACCCCCCCACCCACCCCCGCCCGUGCUGGCUGCACAGGCUGUGAGACAGCUCAGCAUGCGGCCAGGUCCCGUUCACAGACAAUGGCCAGGGCCCUCUUCAAAUGACUGCAUGGACCUGAGAGGAGUGGCGCCUCUGCUGGCUCCUGUCUGGCUGCUGCACCAGGAGCUCUGAGCAGAUUCGCGCUGCUGAGAACAUAAGUCCUAGUCCCUCUGCCUCAUGCAUUCUGACUGCAGCAGGAGACGUUAGGGGCAGCUGGGACCGAGAUUGUGGCAUUGGGUGGGUGGGGCGCGAUGCUGGGCCAGAUGGGACGUCAGGUGACCAGACAACGUGUGCAAUACAAGGCCACCAUGGCGCUGUCCUGAAGCUGGGCCGUGGCUUACCCAAUCUUGGCUCUUGGCUUUGGAGCCCAAACUCCCAGUGUCACGGCUAAUUUCCGAGUUAUGGGCACUAACACUUCCAUUUAACAUUUGAGCAGUGCUUUUCAUUCUUGUAAUCACAGCUACCAGGAAACAUCACAGACCGUCCCAACCGGAGGUGAUUCUGUGAUUCAGCUCAUCCUAUAAUCUUUCCUCUUCCCUUUCUCUCCUCCCUCCUUCCUUUCUUUCUUGAAUAAAAAGGGGGCGAUGCAAUAAACCUGACAAGCUCAGAGGGCCACACGGCAGGCCUGACAAACUCAGAGACGUAGGAUGGUCUGAUUGCAACUCCCACCUGGGCCAGUCGGGGGUCGCAGCGUCUCAGGCCUGGAGCAGCGGUCGCAUUUCCUGUGAGUGAGCCCUGCCUGCUGUUUCUGUGUGUCGAGGAGAACCCAGCAGUGUUCUCUUCUCACUCCUCAGAGGCACAGCCGCCUGAACAGACCACUGAACCGCCGGCUGCUAUCGUGUUCCCUGCAUGCCAUCCCUCUGUAAACGUUCACUGAUGACUCCCCUGAACCCACCGUGUAAAAGAGGUGUCUGUUUCUCCAUUUCACCUUGAGAGCAACCCCGAGGCUUCACCGCUACGCUGUCCCGUCCCUUCGUCUGCCACCAGUGGAUGUCAUCUAACCUUCUUACGUCUCUUCUUUGAGCCUAACGUCUGAGAUAAGCUGCCAAUCUCAGGGUGACCACUGUGUAAGUUAUGCGAAUGUGCAGUCAGUAUGCUCCACACCGGGAAGCAGCAGCAUCAGGUAGGCCAGGUGUCCCCGAAAAUUAAAACUGCCCUUCGUGGGAGCAUCUGGCUUCCCGCCGCCUUCCUUCCCAUCUCCAUUCCCUUUUCCUACUCAGAGAAAUUAAAUCUCAGAAAUAAACAGAUGUAGAGAACAAGCUAAUAGUUGCCAAAGGUGAGGGGGUGGGAAGAUAAGAAUUAAAAUAUGUACACAUUCAAUGAAAAAAAAAAAGUACUGUAUAUAGCCGAUCCAGUAAACAUUUAAAAAAUUCUAAGGACAUAAAAACAGACUUAUAUAUAGCAGAAUGUUAACAGAAGGACCCGGGGACCACUGAUGAUUGUUUUUCUAUUAGAAAAUUUGGAAAUCCCACGUUUUUAUAAUUAGAAAACAAGUUAUGCAAACAUGUUAAAUGACACAUCAGUAACAAGCUCUUCAGGAGUGUGAAGGAAAAACUGACGGCAGACUGUUUCAAACCCUUAGACACACCAAUGUCUCCCUGAAUCGACGAGAAUUUAGGAGACCUGGUCAGUGCUUAGAUUUGUCUCCAUUUCCCAUGACUAUCAAGGUGUCAGUCUCACAUAAGGGAGGAGCUUAUGUAGGAAAAAAGAGAGACCAGUACAACAACCACCUCUAUCCCAGUGAGCCAGCCCUGGGCUCCAAAGGAAAAAUUAAAAGGUGAAUCUGGAAUUUCUGAGUAAUUGCAGGUUAGGGCUCCUGAAAUCCAUUUGGAAGUCGGAGUCUUCAUAGCAAAGGAUAUUUUUAUUUAAAGUUGCAUUUAAAAUGCAAAGAACGCUCCUAACUAUGAAAUUUGUGUUUCUACUGAGGCAAGUCCUCUUAGAAAAGGGAUUCGAUUCAGUGCAGGACCUCGAUGCCCGGG